rnacentral:rRNA from 1 species
ACCAGACUCCUACGGGAGGCAGCAGUGGGGGAUAUUGCACAAUGGGGGGAACCCUGAUGCAGCGACGCCGCGUGGGUGAAGAAGUAUUUCGGUAUGUAAAGCCCUAUCGGCAGGGAAGAAAUUGGACGGUACCUGACUAAGAAGCCCCGGCUAACUACGUGCCAGCAGCCGCGGUAAUACGUAGGGGGCAAGCGUUAUCCGGAUUCACUGGGUGUAAAGGGAGCGUAGACGGCCAUGCAAGCCUGGAGUGAAAGCCCGGGGCCCAACCCCGGGACUGCUCUGGGAACUGUGCGGCUGGAGUGCGGGAGGGGCAGGCGGAAUUCCUGGUGUAGCGGUGAAAUGCGUAGAUAUCAGGAGGAACCCCGGCGGCGAAGGCGGCCUGCUGGACCGCGACUGACGUUGAGGCUCGAAAGCGUGGGGAGCAAACAGGAUUAGAUACCCCGGUAG